rnacentral:rRNA from 1 species
CGCAAGCCUGACGGAGCAAGACCGCGUGGGGGAGGAAUGCCUUAGGGUUGUAAACCCCUUUUAUCUGGGAAGAACAAAAUGACGGUACCAGAUGAAUAAGCCUCGGCUAACUCCGUGCCAGCAGCCGCGGUAAUACGGAGGAGGCAAGCGUUAUCCGGAUUUAUUGGGCGUAAAGCGUUCGCAGGUGGUUCGUCAAGUCUGCUGUUGAAGCGUGCAGCUCAACUGCAUAUAGGCAGUGGAAACUGUUGAACUAGAGUAUGGUAGGGGUAGGGGGAAUUCCCAGUGUAGCGGUGAAAUGCGUAGAGAUCGGGAAGAACAUCGGUGGCGAAAGCGCUCUACUGGACGGCAACUGACACUCAGGGACGAAAGCUAGGGGAGCG